AGAGAUACGACAAGACUUGCCACAGCCAAAGGUGCAUCAAUCGCUUGUGUAGAUGCCUCUCACAAGAGAAAGAAUGGUCAUUUUGGUCAAUCAAGGACCAAUGGGCCAGAUUUUCUUUCACCAAACACUCUCCUAUGUAUUAAAGAAAACAGUUCUUGAUCGAAAAGAAAAAGAGUUUAUACGCGAAGCGCGUGGCGUACCGGAAGUGUAAAGAAAUUGUGAGGCUGCGACAGAUGAAUGUCCAGAAAGUUGAUCGUCUUUUGUAGGACCAAGUCUUUCUGUAACAAUUGGAGCACUUAAGCUUGCAAAAAUUAUCGGUGUUGCCGGAGGUUUGACAAACUUGCUUUUUCAAAAGUGACGAACACAAUCAACCACUUGUAUGGCAAUGGUGUAAUGUAUAUUCGCAAUUGAAUUAUUUCAGGAUUUACAAAGAGAAACGGCAAGACUUGCCAAAGAUGCAUCAACUCCUGUAGUGAUAUCGAUGCUUCUCAGAAAGAUUCUCCAUUUUUUUUUAUUCCUCUGGCACAUCACGCGUUUCGCAUAUAGCUUCUUUUCUUCUACGCAUAAUAACUCCGCUAGUGAGCAUAUAUAAUGACAAAAUGAAAUAGAUGAUAACCUUGAAUUGUAUACACGAGGAAUAGUCCCGCGUAGACACAGUAAUAACCGUAAGAGUAGAGUAGUCGGUGGAAAAGCAACGAUGUCAGAUACGCAUAAUUGUAAUUUAAAAAAAUGGGUGAAACCUAAUUGUCAUUCCAUUUUAUAUGUUCCUACCUUAUUUAGGUCGAGUUAAUUCGGGAAAAAUGUUUCUUCGUAUUCCUAUAUUGGCUGAUGACAUUAUUCCGGGUCCAUAACUUUAGUAAUGUCCAACAAUCAAUUUGGUAAUCAAACGCCGCGCGUUUGAAAGUUGAGUUUUUGUGGAAUAUUUUUCGAGAGGUUUUUUCGAAUUCGUGUAUUUGUUUAAAAGUUAUCACGCCUUAUAAGUGAGAUAGAACAAAGAAGAUGUAUUUUGAAAUUUUAUUACGAGGAAAAGAAUAAUGCCACUCCAACUCUUGAAAAAAUUUAGAAUCGAUGCGUUAUAAAUGGACAUCGCACAUGGUUAUAUCAAACGUUUCCAAUAUGGAAGAUAUGAUGUAGUGGUGGAAGACAUAGACUAGGAACCAACCAUCGGUCACAAAACAGUUCUACAUCAUUUGAAGAAUGCUGGAUGUAAAAAGAUAUCCAAUGUUCAUGUUCCAUAUGAUCAAAUAGUGAAGCGUUUAAUGAAUUUCUGUCUGCGAAUCGUUAUUAGGACCUAACGAAACCGAUGCACUCUUGAAACGGGCCAUUAUGUGCGAUAAUCUAUGAAAAGGAUCAUGAUCCAUGGAAGGAGAAUCAACCGUUGUCGCGCCGUUCAAACUAUUGAUCAUAAUCUCUUCUCUAAACAAUCGGAAAAUGAUUUGCUUUUGCAUUGAAAUACGAAGAAACCUUUUCCUCUAACUUAAUAUCUUGAUUAGUAAUGUCAUUGGUUGAUAUCAUUCCUUUAUGGAAAUUAACUCGAAUUAUUUCAGUAAUAUAGUCAAAGGUAUUUAUCUUGCUUAACAAUGUGAAUGAAUGACAUUACUGAUAGGAUCAUUAUAUUACAUAUAGAUUAUACACGUAUAUCAUACACGUAAUUAAUUAUAUCUAAUUAAAUGUUAUAAUAAUAAUAAAUAUAUUUCAACAUACGAUUUAUCGAUAUUCUGUGUAGCAAAACUGACUAGAGAAUUAACCUGAAGUAUCAGGUUAAUUCGAGCUUUUAAUCAAGAUUUUUGAGUCAAUGAAAUUAAGAUCAAAUUCUGUGGCAGAUUGAAAAUAUUCAAAUGUCGUAGAUAAUUGAAGGAAUAGCAAAUAUCGACUAACAUUUCAGUUUGCAGUUAUAACAUCGACAUCGCGUAGAUUUACGCCCGUUACAGACAGAUAUCACUCACUCGGAAUAAAUAUGAAAUGGAUCGUUACAAUUUCCCAAUGCAUGUUUAUUUGUUUUUUCCUUCUUUGUCUUUUUUCUCCCUUUAAUCUCUUUCUUUUAAUUCUUUUUCUGUUUUCCUUUGUUCUGAUUUUAAUUUUUUUUAAUUUUCUUUUCCUCUUUUAGAUUUUAAUCUUUCUUUUGAUUCUAAUUUAUUUUGUAAUCUUUUUCGUUUUUUUCUUUUUGGUAGUAAUUUCUUUUUCUCCUGCAAAGGGUUAAUUUAAACUUUUUGCUAAAUAUUUACAUCUGUAUUAUAGACGUUAUGGGUACAGGUCCGUUAUAGUUAUUCAUUAAUAUUAAUACAUACAAACAUAUACAACUACAUGUACAUAUGUAUGACCAUCCAAUGUAGCCAAACUUUAUAAUGUCGAAACUAAAGGUGCUAAUUUUGUUUCUUACGUAUCCACUUAUAUGUGAGUACUUACACGUAAUUUAAAAAAUGUUUUAAACCAAACUCCUUCAACAUGUGAGUAAGGGUCGAAGUGAAACAAAAAUAAAAUGAAAGAAAAAAACGAAUACGAGAAAGUAUACGGAAAUAGUAUGAGAAUAAGUGAGAUGGAUCGUUAACUUCACUUAUUUCAUUACGUUUUCGUUCUUCCAGUUCAUAGAAGAAAAAGAAAGAGCGAAAGAGAUACAGCAGAGUAUAGAGAAAAUCAAAAUUAAUAGUAUUCAAUAAAUGUUUACAUUAGUAUUUGUAGUUAAAUAUCAGUACGUGGUAUAAAUGGUUAAUAUAUAAUAAAUAGUAAAAUGUCGUGUCAGUGUUGCGUCAGGAUUUAUUGUAAAUUCUCAUCUACCUUUUUAGAAUAAUAAUAAAUUAUUACGCCCACAAUUGUUUCAAUUAAAAUUCUUAUAGUUUUUGUAUCAAUCGGUUUAAUACCUACCACUUAUACCACGUAUUGAUAAUUCAUUAUUAAUGAUGACCAUUAAUUUAUUUAAAUUACCGAUUAAAAAUGUUGAAAAAUAUUCAUCUAAUAAUUAGAAACUUUAAUUAAAAUAGAAAUAGAACUUUGCUUUUGUCGUGUGAUAUCGUGUGAUACGCACGAUCAGGUUUAUUUUCUUUUUUGUGAAAUGAAUGAACGUCUUUUGAUUUUUUAAUUACCUACCUCCUGCUCUAGAAAUAUCACAUAUUUCGUUUGAAUCGUAAACGAUACAAUAUCAUGAAUUCUUUUGAUAUCAAUAUUUAACGUGAAACCGUAAAGUACUGAUACAAGCGACGAUUAAUUCCAUAAAUGCUUGUAGGUGUCGUUAUCUGAUUGUUUGCGUCUUUGAACUUAUGCGUAAAGAAAGCAGUGCUUUUGUAUAAAAACAAUUUUGCAAAUAUGGAGAGAAAAGGAAUAGAAAGCUUCUUGCGGAAAGGACGAUAUUUUAAAAUCUUGUUUAAUCCCUUCGAUCAUUUCGAGACUAUACGAAUUUGUAGAUAUUAGAGUUUAGUCGUUCAGUAAAUCCUCCGACCAACUUAAAACGUCAUACGUCGAGUUUGUGAUGUAUCAGACGAUUCGUAGGACACGUAGGAUACGAGGUAAUUCGCGCUUUAUCAAUGGUUAAGCUAACUCGAAAUGA